UGCUUGAGCGAAGCCUCAGAGGGUGAAGGCCAUCUACAACUGUUCAGCUGAUAAUCCAGACGAGCUGACCUUCAAGGAGGGGGAGGUGAUCGUUGUGGAGGGGGAGGAGGACAGCGAGUGGUGGGUGGGUUACGUUGAGGGCGAGCCGAGCCGGCGCGGGGCCUUCCCCGUCACCUUCGUCCACUUCAUCACCGAGUGACGUCGUCUCCGUCCAACACAACUUUAUUUAAACGCUGACGCCAUGACAUCAGCUGAUCUCUGGAGAAAAGUAUGUGGACACCCGGAGCACAGCCCCAGUAAAUAAAUAAAUAAAUAAAGGGAAGAUUCGUCCACAUACUUUUGCCACAUGCUGUUACCGUUUUGUUUCAGGUCAGACGUGAGAUUUUCAUUCAUUAAACCUGUUGGUGGGAGAUCAGGUUAUUAAAGACACCUCAGAUCGUGUUUUUUAGUCAUUUUACUUCCUUGUUUCUUGUCGUUCUUCUUCCUCUUCAUCUUCUUCUAUUUAUUUAGUUUAUUUUUUCCCUCCAGGCUCCAAACUGAUGCUGUCUAACGAAAACUUUUUCUGUCAGUCGACCAGUAUUUCUUCAUCCUUCUCUCCUGCUUUCAGCUGUUUUUACUUUAUUUUAUGUUUUGUUUCAUUUUAUUUUGUUCAUGUAUCAGGAUGAAUUCAGACGAUGCUUCAAAUGAGAAGAUAAAAAAAAUCCAACAACGUUUAAUAAAUAAAUGAAUAAAUGACUUUUCUUUUUCUUUCUUUUUGUGAUUGAAAACUAAAAAUAAUAAAAACCAGUAAUAAAAUGAAACGUGUCACAGAAUCAGUGUUUAAUUUAUAAAAUGUGUUCAUGACAAAAAUAUUCAUAUGAAAAAUAAAAUACUCAAACGACACGUCA